rnacentral:rRNA from 1 species
CAGUAGCCGCGGUAAUACGAAGGGGGCUAGCGUUGCUCGGAAUCACUGGGCGUAAAGGGUGCGUAGGCGGGUCUUUAAGUCAGAGGUGGAAUCCUGGAGCUCAACUCCAGAACUGCCUUUGAUACUGAGGAUCUUGAGUUCGGGAGAGGUGAGUGGAACUGCGAGUGUAGAGGUAAAAUUCGUAGAUAUUCGCAAGAACACCAGUGGCGAAGGCGGCUCACUGGCCCGAUACUGACGCUGAGGCACGAAAGCGUGGGGAGCAAACAGGAUUAGAUACCCGCGUAGUCCCUGUCUCUUAUAC